GACAAAUCCUAAGUGCGUUAAAGUAAAAUUUUAAGACCAAAAGCACAUGAAUGCACUCAGUUAUGAUAAUGUGAGAUGAUACAGUAUUUUCUUUUUGCUUUCAAUUUAAUCAUUUACUGUAAAUAUAAUAUGUUCAGUGAAAACUUUAUUUAUUAAAGCUAAGAUGAAAAGGCUUUUCUUCACAGGCCUGUAAGCUCCCCAAAUUCUAAAGCCUGUGAGUUUUUCUUGCUCUGUAUUUCAUUUACAUGAACUUUUCCCUCAAUGUUAUAAAUUAUAAAUGCUUGUGGUAAAAUGAAAACAUGGAAACACACAAUGAAUAAAUAUUUCAUUUACCGAGGAUUUAUCACUCAAUAUCUUAGUGUAUUACAGAUAGUCUCAUAUUUAUUUAAAUGUGAGAUUAUAAUAAUUUGGAAACCUAUCCUAGUUUUAAAAUACUACUAUAGUUUAUGUCUUUUCCCAUUUAAUUAAAGUUUUCAAAAUAAAAUGAUUGCAUGAUAUUCCAUCAUCAUAUCACAAUAGUGAUAGCUGCUGGUUAUUGAUAUACUGAUGAGCCAAGCAGUAAGCUAGGAUCUUUAUGUGAAUUAUAUAAUUUAUUCCUAAUUUGUCCUUAUUUGAUAUGCUAGAAAUUUGAGGUUUCUGUGAUUUCCCAAGGUAACACAGCAAGAACAAAGCUGAGAUUUGGAUCCACGUCUUUCUGACUGCGAAGUCUGUGUGUGAUCAUUGUUUCCAUUGUCCUCAAUUAUGGUACAUUGUAUCACAGUAAUGGAUCAUACAUCAUUUAAUUACUUCCCUGUCAUGGAACAUUUAGUUUAUUUUCAGUUAUUCAUAUAUUUAAUGCCACUGAGACAAACAUCCUUGCAUGUGAGUAGAAUCUUUACACUAUUCUCUUACUUCUUUUGGAUAAAUCCCUUUUACUUGAUUUCAUUGGUAAUUCUGCAUCACAUCUUGUGUAUAUUGACACCCUCUGCUCCUUUCACCUCUGGCUUUCUGAGCCUCUCAUUCCCUAUUGGUUAACUCAUGUCCUUGGUGCCUGGGAGUUUUCCAAUUGGCCCUGUUCCCAGGGGAACACUCCUUAAGCUGAAAAGUCUCGUCUCUACCCUCAUCUCCCAUCCCUGAUUCACAGGCCCCUCUGAAGCUCCUGGCCGCCACAGUCAGUGAGCAUUACCUGUUACCCCACCUGACACAGGUCCCCACACAACAGCACAGUGAUGCCAAACAGUUGCUGCCUUCUGGACAGUCACUUGUUCCACCUGCUGUUGACCUUUCUAGUUCUAUUUAUCUCUGGAGAUUUGGCAAUUCUGAUUUUUAAAAAUAUAUGCAACUUACUUUGCAUACAUCUUCUUGACUAGCAGCAUUUAUGUGGCAAAACUUGUUAAUUUUUAUUAAAUGUUUUCUGUGUGGCUUUGUUCUGCAUUCCUACCUUAAGACUAUUUCUCUCGUUCACAUGCAUGUAGAAAGUAGAAACCACAGGGAACAAUGUACAUUCUGAAAUGCUUAAUUUGCAGACAUUGUGAAAUUUUACUCAUCAAUGUGUUUCAACUCUUUGGUACAUUUCUAGCAUUUUGCUUAAUAUGUUUUAUAUGAAAAGGCAAAUUUUAAAUACUUAAGUUUCAUAAACCACCAAAUAAUCAAUAAACCCAGUUACUAAAACCCUAACGAUUGUCAAACUUUAGAGUAAGAAAAAAUGACCUAGAAAAUGUAUUGAAAAGUGAAGGCUUCUAUACUUUUCCCCUACUAGCCUGUUACUCCUGUGACUGAUUCAUGAGGGAUCUCUAUUUUCAGCAACACCAGGGUGAUUCUGAUGCUGAUGGUCAGUGAAACACACUCUAAAAAUUAUACAAGCGAAUAUAUCAGCAAGUUUGCCUUCAUAUUUGUUAACUGAAAAGCAGUGAGUGUUCUGCUCUGUCCUCUCCCUUGAAUCCUAACAAAAUAAGUAAACAGAAAAGAUGUGGCUAGCAGAAACUCCACAAUUCUAACCUCUCAGCUAUGCCCAGAUUUUCUGUAGGGAUACAAAGGUACAGUCACAAAGGGAAGAGAGAAUGAAACAAAACAGCCCUUGCCAUUUCCCAUGCACCAACUAUCACUCCAUACGGAGGCACAUCAGUGAGUAUCUCUUCUUUAAUCUCACGUAUACCUAGAAUUUAGGAUAUACCAAAUGGCUUGAGAAGAAUAUGCUCCAAAUCCAUGACACAGUAAAAUUCCUCUAUAAAACAAGAUUUAGGGUGUGUUCUUUUAAAUUAAAGUGCUCUGUUUACCUGACUAGCUAUUUCAAAGCUCUAGCUUCUUUUUGUUGCCUGUUUUUUAGCAUUAUGCUCUUUUGUUUUACCUUAAGACUCUAUAUUGCAUGUCUUAUUUGAAAUAUCUAAAGUUUAAAAUGCAGCCUCAUAAUGUAUCUAUUUGCUUAAUUUAAAACAUUUAAGCAAAAGUAAUAGGUUCUGCUUCUUAGCUAUUGAUGGGAUAAAGAACACAAGGACAGGUGGGGAGAGAAGAGCUUCUUGGAAGAAAGAUCAGAUCCUACUUCUCAAGAUUUCAGUCCUCAAACCUAGAAAACCAGAACUGGUGAAGAGGAAAUAAUAAAGGGGGUCAUACAACUGAUCCCCUCUCCCCAGAAAGCAAAACACAUAGGUCUGUCCUACAUGUCCUACGUGAGAAGAGCAGGGCUGGGAACUACCUCUUACGUGUUAUCUUCCAAGUGACAUUAUCAGUUCACAGCACAAUAUAGGCAUUGCCUCUGAGGCUCAUUGCUAUGCAUUUCUUUCCCUAUUCUCUACUUCUUGUGUGAAGAUUUUCUUCUCUCAGGGCACACAUGAGCACGGUGGUUUCCUGUUACAGAAUGUUCUCCCAGCCUAACAUGGAAAAAGCUCGUAGAUGUAUUAUGUGCUGAGAAUAAAAAACCUAACUUUUAUUAUUUCUCUUUUUUCCUUUAUGACCUGGGCAAUAUAAUUUGAUGAAUCAAAAUUUGGCCAGGCACAGUGGCUUAUGCCUGUAAUCCCAGCACUUUGGGAGGCCAAGUGCUGACAGAUCACUUGAGGUCAGGAGUUCAAGACCAGCCUGGCCAACAUGGUGAAACCCUUUCUCUGCUAAAAAUACAAAAAUUAACCAGGCGUGGUGGUAGGUGCCUGUAAUCCCAGCUACUCAGGAGGCUGAGGCAGAAGAAUUGCUUGAACCUGGGAGGCAGAGGUUGCAGUGAGCCAUGAUCAUGCCACUGCACUCCAGCCUAGGUGACAGAGUGAGAUUCCGUCUCAAAAAAAAAAAAAAAAAAAUUAAUGGCCAGAGUUGUAUAGGCAUGCAAUUGUGAACACCUUUCUUGGUCCUUAGUGUCCUACAUGAAAGAAAAGAAACACACACACAAACCUGUAGAUGAAAACUUUACAGCCAUGUGCUCUAGACACACAAAUGUCUAGGCGGUAGUAUUUUUACUAGAUCCUCAAAAAGUAAUAUUUUUACAAAGAAAGAGACAAUGAGUAAAGACAUUGUAAAAAGAGAACUAAUCAUGAGCAAGGCACAAAUUGAAAAAUGAAGGAUACAAGGAGAUUGGGGAAAUUAGUACAGAAGGUCCUCAACUUAAGAUGGCUCGAUCUGAUAUUUCAACUUUAUGAUGGUGUCAAAGAAAUAUGCAUUCAGCAUUCUCCUACACUUAUGAGACUACAUCCCAAUAAGCUUAUUUUAAGUUGAACAUAUGGUAAAUGGAAAAUGCUGUUUUGAUUUGUAAUAUUUUCAAUUUACCAUGGGUUUAUCAGGAUGUAACCCCAUCAUAAGUCAAGAAGCAUCUGUAUUUAAAAGUGAUUUUGUGUUUAGAAUUUAUCCUCUAAAACCCUAUAGAAAGCUCUUAGGCAGAAUGGCAUGAUCAUAUCUGCUCUUUGAUGGCCCUUGAAAAAAGAGAAGAGGGAAGAAAUUGGAAGCAUAAACACCAUUGGAGCUGAGUGAUGCUGAAGAUUUAAUCUGGGGUACUGGCGGGGGGGAAUAUUGAUCAGGAAUGAAGUGAAGAGUGGGAACAGCUGACAUAGGGUACACCUCAACCUCAUGAAUGCUUGGAUUGGGAGUAGCAGAAGCAGAAGUUCACUCACUAGUGUCCUGAAGUUCUUUCACAUCAUCUGAAGCUUUUUAAAAACAUGCAUUAUGCACUUACUAUGUGCCAGGCAUUGUGUGAUGUGUUUUACAGGCAUUAGCCCACUCCUUACAUCCACCGUGUCUUGACUUGCAUUCAAGUGUGUGGGUGGGGAGAGUGGCUGAUUCAUCUUGCACUUUCUCAUAGAAGCACAGUCCUUCUAGUCUCUGUUUUAAAAGGCUACAUAUGACUGCACUGGGAAGGCAUCAAAUGACUACAGUACAAACAAAGUAUUUAAUGAAUGAAAUUGUGUCUACAAUUCUCAAAAGUUUGGCAGUUUUUGGCAAAAAAUAGAGGAUGCUAUGGAAAGAAGAGAGAGGAAUCAAGGAUUCUCUGUUUCAAGCCUAAGUAAGUGGAAGAAGGGCACCAUUGUGUAAAUAACUCAGGAGAACCUGAUUUGAUGUGGUAGUAUGUGUUUGUCUUUUUGCAUGAGUUUGAAGUGCUAGGUUAACAGGGGGCUCGCAGGGGAGCUGAUAUAAGAGCUGUAGGUUUAUACGGAUAUCAGGUAACUUCUUAGGGCUUUGAAUAUUUAAGGAGGUGAAAAACAAGAUGAUUCUAGGCACAAAGAAGGGAAAGCAUUUUAUUUUGGAGAUGAUACUAAAGGGGCUGAUCAGAGCAAAGUCAGUUGUCAAGACUUCAAUCUGGAGUCCAGGAAUGGAGAUGGAGACAAAAGGGAAGCCCGUAGUCAAAGUCAGAUUUGGCAAAACAGAAUUGGGAUCCAAGAUAAAAACAGUCUUAAGAUGGGAAUAAAGAAAAAGUAAUGAUUACCAGGAGCCCCCAGACACACACUGCAUGGAACAGAAGAUCUUGCUGCUUUUCAUUUGCUGAAGAAGCACCAGCCAUUUCUUCGGGAAACUCUUUAUGAUUUUGCCUCCUCGAGAAUUUUACCUGCCUUUUCAGUUAAGCAUCAAGAUUUAUCACACUGACUUCUGGCUAGGGAUGAAUAAGAUGUAACUUGCUGAAUACCACAAAUGAGAGACCUGGAAGCUACUAUGAGCCAUGAAAUUCCCAAAGGCCAUCACUGGUGAAAUACUGGUCGGGCUUCUGGGAAAGGUGAAUAAGAGCAUCAUGGCAAGAUGUCAGCAGUAAAGCAGAGUGGAGACUGAAGCUAAAUUGUUCCCAACUCAGGCGUUCUCUGCUCAUAGAACAAUAGCAGUGGCUAAGGUACAUGAUUGAGUGCUAACUCUAUGCCAACUCUUUUCAUGAAUUAACUCUGACAAAGCCCUGUCAAGUAGACUCCUCUACCCUCCUCAGUACAGGUCCUAUAAGUAAGGAAACUAAGCACAGAAAGCUUAAGUGACUUCUCAAAUCCCACAGCUAGUAAGGAUAGAGCCGGAAUUUGCAUCAAGACACUCUUACUUGGAAGUCUUAGCACUUGGGGUUACUAUGACGACUGCCAAACAGCCAUGACCUCCCAGGCAAGUGACUGCUAAUGUCUAGCUGGACAGCUAGGGAAGAAGCCAAGGAAGGGAUUGACAGGGAGAAUCUAAAAUACACAUAAUUUUCAUAGGGUGUUAGAAUUAGUGCCCAUUUUAAGAAGCAGAUGUUCUGCUUUUCAUCCAAUUUGAACCUUACAGUUUCACAGUGUUUCAAACCAGGCAAUCCCAUACGAAUGCCUCAGCAAUCUUUGCACUACGUAUUCUGAAAAACUGAACAUACAAGACCCAGUCAUCAGGUGAUCAUUAUGAAGAGACAUGUUCUACAGUGAAAAGAAAAAUCUUUUCAGUAUCUUAUUGUCUUAAUUGACCUUUUGUUAACAUGAAAUGAAUUGUACAUGUGACUUGUUUAAAAUCAUUUAUUAUUAUCAGGAGUGCCUUUUAGGUGGACCGCUCUGUAUGACUCUCAUGC
rnacentral:lncRNA from 1 species